UGUCGCUGUAGAUUUAGCAGUACAUUACUGUAAAAAUCCACAGUACUAUACUGUAUGUAUACAUUACAGUACAGUACUGCAGUUCAUAAUGCAUUCUGGGUAAAUUUGUUUGAGCGGGAAAAUUUUACAGUAUAUUUUGGUCUUGAUGUAACCUUGCUGUAGCCAUUGCUGUAAUGUGCCAGGUGUACUUGCAAUAAUCAGAGAAAGUGCGCCAGAGUCAAAUCACACAGAGGGAGAGAGAGCACAACUCCUGGCUGCAGCUGAAGGAGGAUGAUUGAUUUCUGGCAGUUCGUCUUACCAUUGCUUGUAAGCUGGAUUGGGUAAGAUGGAUCAUCUUUAAAGGCACCAGGAGUUAAGGCAGAUGUGGAGGCACAACGGGUGAUACCAGACACACACCAAGCACAUUGUUCGGACAUUCAAUCAUGACAGGAUCCAGGUGGAUGCUGUCCAUUGAUGAAAGAGUUUGUUCAGCGGUUUCUGGAUAGAAUUAAUUCCAAAGAUGGGAAAAAGUGCACAUCCAGACAAGGAGCAAGCAAAAAGACAAGGAACUUGGUGCAGAGAAAAGCUGUGGCCAUUAACCCCCAUGUGAACAGCUUCAUGCAGUCCCUGAUUGAGUUCGAAUGGACGACUUCAAAGUAAAGGCCACUGUGGUCUGUCUGCCACAGUUUAAUGCAUUUAUUUUUAGUGUUAAAUGAAAUUUAAGUAGAAUAUUUAAAACUAUGGGCCAGUGUUGUUUUUACCACAGUGAAAUGUUACCUUUUAGUCGAUGAUGGACUUUAAACUGAAAACUUCAAACUAUGGAACAGUGUUCUAUUUGCCAGAGUUAAAUAUGUUACAGCAGGGGUCUCCAAACUUGUUUAUACUUGUUGAUUUUAUUUUAUGUUACUUGAUUAUAUGUUUAUUAUUGUUUAAAAUCUUGUUUUAAAUAUGUUUGUUUCAAUUAAAUGUUUUUUUAAAUAAAAUUUUGAUACAUACAUUGCUUGGAUUGCCUU